GUGCUCGUUUUGGCAGCACAUAUACUAAAGUUGGAAUGAUACAGAGAAGAUUAGCAUGGCCCUGUGCAAGGAUGACACACAAAUUCAUGAAGUGUUCCCUACUUAA